rnacentral:rRNA from 1 species
UGCCAGCAGCCGCGGUAAUACGAAGGGAGCUAGCGUUGUUCGGAAUUACUGGGCGUAAAGCGCACGUAGGCGGAUUGGAAAGUUAGAGGUGAAAUCCCGGGGCUCAACCCCGGAACUGCCUUUAAAACUCCCAGUCUAGAGGAUAGGAGAGGUCAGUGGAAUACCGAGUGUAGAGGUGAAAUUCGUAGAUAUUCGGUGGAACACCAGUGGCGAAGGCGACUGACUGGACUAUUUCUGACGCUGAGGUGCGAAAGUGUGGGGAGCAAACAGGAUUAGAUA